CUGACUGGUAGUGUGUGACCCUUGGACUGGACUCUGGACUACUCCUUUGCAUAUGCCCCUGCUGCGCUGCCCUCAGUAGAGGUGCAAUCCUAUGCAUGUCUAUUCAGACGGACAGAGAGACAGACUGAAGAGUGAGCAUGAGGACAGAAAACACAGACCAGCAAAGAAGAAGUGAAAGUUACCUUUGGAAGAUUGGGACAUGGGGAAUACUAUGAUCAUUGCUGAAGCCCGAUGGUGAACUACCUAUAAAGUAAAAAGUAACAAUAAAAUAACAUCUUGUGGCAGAAUAUCACAUCUGCUAAAACAUCUGUAGUUUCAAUAGAGCAAGAACAGUUUUUAUGGAAAUGAGUUAUAAUCUGUUGUUUUUAUUUCUCUUGAAAAGUAAUUAGAAAAAGUAAGUUCUAAUUCUGCAUAAUUUUGAUUGUCCACACAUACUAAUUGCUCUCUAGAAAUCCACAGUGCAGUGCCUGUUAAAGCAUCUCACCCUUUCCAUUUAAUCUUUUACAUUCUUUCCCAGGGAAUUCUGAAUUUUGAAAACAGACACUUUUUGCACUCAUGGAAAAAGCAAUAUUUACUUUACAAGGAACUGUACUCAGAAAUAUUCAAUCCAAGACAAUAAAGGAGAUAAUAAAGGGAAUCUGAAACAUAGCCUUUUCAGUUCAGGAACAAAGACAAAGGAUCUUUCUAUAUACUUUGGUGGAUUAUUAGCCUAUGAAAGGAGGAGACUUAGGUUGCUUGUGAAUCAAAGGAAAUCUUUGGAAUAUGUGAUUAUCUUUAAUAUACAUGGUGUCACAUCACAUUUAUCCCAGUCAAGCUGAGGCUUGUUUCAGAAUGAAUGGGGUAGAUGCUGGACUUCUGGGAUAUUAGAGGCAUUAGCAUUUUUUCCCUUCAAAACCAGAAUUUUGUGUUUGGAUUUCAGAACAGUGCAGUUCUUUAAAAUUUUAUUAAUUCCUCCUCAUUUUCCCCACUAAUAUGUGACAGUUCCUUUCUUUCAAA